UGUGGCUGUAUUCCUUUAUUUCCUUGGAGGAAGAAGGAAAAACUUUGCGCCUUGCUCUGGUCUCGGUCCCCCACAGGACUAGCUUCUCUGGACUAUGUCCUCUUCCUGGGAGGGCAAAGAGCGAGACCUCGCGCUCCUGCUCCUCUGAACCCCCGGGCAAUCGCCAGUUUCUUCGAGAAGCAGAGGCAGAAGCUUGGGUUCUUCACACCGGGUACCGCUCCGCACACCCCAGUCGCUGCCCACACCCCAGUCGGCCAUGGGUGAGAGUGGGAGUCCCACCUUUCUGGACAGGAGCACACUGGCAUCAGAAACCAUCUGUACUCUCUCGCUCCAGCGGUACCAAACGACUCCGUCCUCUCCCUUCGCCCUGGCAGAGCACGUAGGGUCGUGCGGGAAGAGAACAAGGAAGCCAAGACCUUUCAGCUCGUACUGCCCCCAGGUCUGCCGCACUGCCAACAGCCCGCCUAGAUUUAUCGGUAUUCUCCCCAGGCGCGACAACUCUCCCGAGAGUCCACAGGCAGCACCCGCCAAAAAUGCCCGCGCCCCUGGAGACUACUCAACUCUCGCCCCACUGCAUCUUCCAGCCUAGGCAAGGUUUCCCCUGUUCCACUGAGCAGGGAUAAAGGAUUUCCAAAGUUCCCUAUUUCCCCGUCCAAUUUCCCCCUCCAGGACCCCACGCGGAUCGCGCGCAAGGGGAGUAAGCCCCAGGUCUCCCCUAAAUCUGCGCCUCCACGGGGUCCCGCCCCCCACCUACGUCUCAGUCCGGGCGAUCCAGCGUCUCUAGAGCCUAGCGGUUCUCCGGCCCGAGGAGAGGAAACUUCUUUCUGAGGUGAACAUAGACAAGAACGCGAAAGGUUUUUCCGACCCCGCAAACACCGAGGGCGCGCUCGCCCUCUAACCGCCCCCCCAAAGAGCUCAACACCUCCCACACACGCACACCCGGCCACCAGCUGAGACUUUUCCUGGAGCUACCAAUGCUCCUAGACUUUUCCGGGUCAAAAGGUCCUGUGGAGUCUGAAACACUACGGGGUUACUCUGGGUCUUUCCAGAGACCCUACCUGUCCCGCGUGGCUUCCAGAAAAAAAAUAAAUAAGUAAACAAAACGCAAUCCUGACAACUUUGGUGUACGUGAGUUUCUGUGUGUGUGUGAGAGACAGAGAAAGAGACACAGGGAAAGAGAGAGCGCGCCAUACAGCAUCGCCCAAGAGUUAGGACCAC
rnacentral:lncRNA from 1 species